AAGCGGGUCCUGCGCGAUGAAGCACCGUGAACCAUGUCAGGCGGGGAACCGAGCAGCAUUAAGCGGACCGUUUUAUGUGCCGCAGCAAAGCCUUCUUUU
rnacentral:SRP_RNA from 2 species